CACCUAGAGGUGCAAUAAGACCUGCUAACUCUUUAUUCCGGAAAUAACUGCCGGGCCCCUCU
rnacentral:tRNA from 1 species